rnacentral:rRNA from 1 species
CCUACGGGAGGCAGCAGUGGGGAAUCUUGCGCAAUGGGCGAAAGCCUGACGCAGCCAUGCCGCGUGAAUGAUGAAGGUCUUAGGAUUGUAAAAUUCUUUCACCGGGGACGAUAAUGACGGUACCCGGAGAAGAAGCCCCGGCUAACUUCGUGCCAGCAGCCGCGGUAAUACGAAGGGGGCUAGCGUUGCUCGGAAUUACUGGGCGUAAAGGGAGCGUAGGCGGACAUUUAAGUCAGGGGUGAAAUCCCAGAGCUCAACUCUGGAACUGCCUUUGAUACUGGAUGUCUUGAGUGUGAGAGAGGUAUGUGGAACUCCGAGUGUAGAGGUGAAAUUCGUAGAUAUUCGGAAGAACACCAGUGGCGAAGGCGACAUACUGGCUCAUUACUGACGCUGAGGCUCGAAAGCGUGGGGAGCAAACAGGAUUAGAUACCCUGGUAGUCCACGCCGUAAACGAUGAUUGCUAGUUGUCGGGAUGUUUACAUCUCGGUGACGCAGCUAACGCAUUAAGCAAUCCGCCUGGGGAGUACGGUCGCAAGAUUAAAACUCAAAUGAAUUGACGG